CAACAACAACAACAACAACCCAAAAAAAAAAAAAAAAAAAAAACCUAUUCAAUAGUGGAUGGUAUGUAAUAGAAUUAAGGGCGUGUUUGUUUUACCGGAUUGGACAGGAUUGUGUCCCAAUUCGGUGUUUGGUAGCAGCAAAUAAAGAAGGGGAUAACAGCUACAGUGCAAUAAUCCCCCUAGAGAAGGAUUAAGCUGAUUCGUCCCUCCUCCUAGGUUAGGUUUUUGUCCGAAGCUCAUCGAAGGCUCUCAUUGAUGUCUCGAGCGUAUCUUUGGCCAGAUCAAGCUCGUGGGUAGUGUUCUUCUUCUUGAAUCCGGGAGUUUGCCUUCUUCUUCUUCUUCCUCCUCUUCUCAUUGUUCGUCUGCUUCUUCUUCUUUUGCUUUUCAUUUUAUUUCUUUUUAGGGCUUAGAUCUGCCAUAUUCCUCUUCUUCGUUCUUCUUCUUCUUUGAUCUCUUUUGUUCGGCGAUUCUAUUUCUUCUUCUUCUUCGAUCUAGUAGUACAUACUUCUAGAAAAAAAAAAUUCUCCUUCUUCUUCUUCUUCGAUCUGCCUUCGUUUGCUUCUUCUUCUUCUUCUUCUUCGAUCUGCCUUCAUUUGCUUCUUCUUCUUCUUCAUUUUCCAUUUUAUUUCUUUUUAGUGCUUCCAUCUGCCAUAUUCCUCUUCUUCGUUCUUCCUCUUUUUCGUUCUUCCUCUUCUUCGAUCUGGCAUAUUUCUUUUUUUUUUUUUCUGCAAUUUUAUUUCUUCUUAUUCUUCGAUCUAGUAGUACAUAUUUCUAGAAAAAAAUUUCUUCUUCUUCUUCUUCUCCGUUCUUCUUCUUCUUCUUCUUCUUCAUAUGCAUUCUUUUUUCUCCUUCUUCUUCUUUGAUCUGGCAUAUUUAUUUGGUUUUUUGUGAUUAUGCAUUGUAGAAAAAUUGUUAUAUGGGUCAUCUAUAUCUUGACUGAAAUAUAUAUAUAGAUAUAUAUAUUUUUUUUGGGGUCUUUUACAGUUUGUGAGAAAUUGGCUUUUGUUCAUAUUGAGGAAGAAGGCUUACUAUCAUGGUCUACAUGAACAAUGGUGAGAAGUGCAUUCACAGCAUUGUAGAUUGCAUUAUGGCAUCAAAAGGCUAGCAACAGAGCAGGUGGAGUAAUUCUAUGGGAUUAUCAUAUCAUUUGUCUUGCUGGACCAUUUUUUGAGAAAAUGAGGCAUUAUGACCUCUCUGUUUCAGGUGUUAAGUGUACUUCGACAAUUUGUAAAUCAAGGAUAUGUUAUUCUUCUCACAAUAAGUAAUUACAGUAUAUGUAUAUGAUUGACAGCUUUUAGAAAAUGUUGAGAUUUUUGAUUUAUUUUUUUAUAAUUGAUAUUGCAUGGCUAUGAUUGGAAUUGUUGAAAUCUGGUUCCAUUGGUUCCUUUUGCUUGUAAUAAACAUUUUGUAUUUGAUAUAUACAAGCCCGUUUGGUUGUUUUGUUA